GGGUUGUGAGGUUAAGCGACUAAGCGUACACGGUGGAUGCCCCUGGCAGUCAGAGGCGAUGAAGGACGUGCUAAUCUGCGAUAAGCGUCGGUAAGGUGAUAUGAACCGUUAUAACCGGCGAUUUCCGAAUGGGGAAACCCAGUGUGAUUCGUCACACUAUCAUUAACUGAAUCCAUAGGUUAAUGAGGCGAACCGGGGGAACUGAAACAUCUAAGUACCCCGAGGAAAAGAAAUCAACCGAGAUUCCCCCAGUAGCGGCGAGCGAACGGGGAGCAGCCCAGAGCCUGAAUCAGUGUGUGUGUUAGUGGAAGCGUCUGGAAAGGCGCGCGAUACAGGGUGACAGCCCCGUACACAAAAAUGCACAUACUGUGAGCUCGAUGAGUAGGGCGGGACACGUGGUAUCCUGUCUGAAUAUGGGGGGACCAUCCUCCAAGGCUAAAUACUCCUGACUGACCGAUAGUGAACCAGUACCGUGAGGGAAAGGCGAAAAGAACCCCGGCGAGGGGAGUGAAAAAGAACCUGAAACCGUGUACGUACAAGCAGUGGGAGCCUCUUAAUGGGGUGACUGCGUACCUUUUGUAUAAUGGGUCAGCGACUUAUAUUCUGUAGCAAGGUUAACCGAAUAGGGGAGCCGAAGGGAAACCGAGUCUUAACUGGGCGUUAAGUUGCAGGGUAUAGACCCGAAACCCGGUGAUCUAGCCAUGGGCAGGUUGAAGGUUGGGUAACACUAACUGGAGGACCGAACCGACUAAUGUUGAAAAAUUAGCGGAUGACUUGUGGCUGGGGGUGAAAGGCCAAUCAAACCGGGAGAUAGCUGGUUCUCCCCGAAAGCUAUUUAGGUAGCGCCUCGUGAAUUCAUCUCCGGGGGUAGAGCACUGUUUCGGCAAGGGGGUCAUCCCGACUUACCAACCCGAUGCAAACUGCGAAUACCGGAGAAUGUUAUCACGGGAGACACACGGCGGGUGCUAACGUCCGUCGUGAAGAGGGAAACAACCCAGACCGCCAGCUAAGGUCCCAAAGUCAUGGUUAAGUGGGAAACGAUGUGGGAAGGCCCAGACAGCCGGGAUGUUGGCUUAGAAGCAGCCAUCAUUUAAAGAAAGCGUAAUAGCUCACUGGUCGAGUCGGCCUGCGCGGAAGAUGUAACGGGGCUAAACCAUGCACCGAAGCUGCGGCAGCGACGCUUAUGCGUUGUUGGGUAGGGGAGCGUUCUGUAAGCCUGCGAAGGUGUGCUGUGAGGCAUGCUGGAGGUAUCAGAAGUGCGAAUGCUGACAUAAGUAACGAUAAAGCGGGUGAAAAGCCCGCUCGCCGGAAGACCAAGGGUUCCUGUCCAACGUUAAUCGGGGCAGGGUGAGUCGACCCCUAAGGCGAGGCCGAAAGGCGUAGUCGAUGGGAAACAGGUUAAUAUUCCUGUACUUGGUGUUACUGCGAAGGGGGGACGGAGAAGGCUAUGUUGGCCGGGCGACGGUUGUCCCGGUUUAAGCGUGUAGGCUGGUUUUCCAGGCAAAUCCGGAAAAUCAAGGCUGAGGCGUGAUGACGAGGCACUACGGUGCUGAAGCAACAAAUGCCCUGCUUCCGGAAAAGCCUCUAAGCAUCAGGUAACAUCAAAUCGUACCCCAAACCGACACAGGUGGUCAGGUAGAGAAUACCAAGGCGCUUGAGAGAACUCGGGUGAAGGAACUAGGCAAAAUGGUGCCGUAACUUCGGGAGAAGGCACGCUGAUAUGUAGGUGAAGUCCCUUGCGGAUGGAGCUGAAAUCAGUCGAAGAUACCAGCUGGCUGCAACUGUUUAUUAAAAACACAGCACUGUGCAAACACGAAAGUGGACGUAUACGGUGUGACGCCUGCCCGGUGCCGGAAGGUUAAUUGAUGGGGUUAGCGGUAACGCGAAGCUCUUGAUCGAAGCCCCGGUAAACGGCGGCCGUAACUAUAACGGUCCUAAGGUAGCGAAAUUCCUUGUCGGGUAAGUUCCGACCUGCACGAAUGGCGUAAUGAUGGCCAGGCUGUCUCCACCCGAGACUCAGUGAAAUUGAACUCGCUGUGAAGAUGCAGUGUACCCGCGGCAAGACGGAAAGACCCCGUGAACCUUUACUAUAGCUUGACACUGAACAUUGAGCCUUGAUGUGUAGGAUAGGUGGGAGGCUUUGAAGUGUGGACGCCAGUCUGCAUGGAGCCGACCUUGAAAUACCACCCUUUAAUGUUUGAUGUUCUAACGUUGGCCCCUAAUCGGGGUUGCGGACAGUGUCUGGUGGGUAGUUUGACUGGGGCGGUCUCCUCCUAAAGAGUAACGGAGGAGCACGAAGGUUGGCUAAUCCUGGUCGGACAUCAGGAGGUUAGUGCAAUGGCAUAAGCCAGCUUGACUGCGAGCGUGACGGCGCGAGCAGGUGCGAAAGCAGGUCAUAGUGAUCCGGUGGUUCUGAAUGGAAGGGCCAUCGCUCAACGGAUAAAAGGUACUCCGGGGAUAACAGGCUGAUACCGCCCAAGAGUUCAUAUCGACGGCGGUGUUUGGCACCUCGAUGUCGGCUCAUCACAUCCUGGGGCUGAAGUAGGUCCCAAGGGUAUGGCUGUUCGCCAUUUAAAGUGGUACGCGAGCUGGGUUUAGAACGUCGUGAGACAGUUCGGUCCCUAUCUGCCGUGGGCGCUGGAGAACUGAGGGGGGCUGCUCCUAGUACGAGAGGACCGGAGUGGACGCAUCACUGGUGUUCGGGUUGUCAUGCCAAUGGCACUGCCCGGUAGCUAAAUGCGGAAGAGAUAAGUGCUGAAAGCAUCUAAGCACGAAACUUGCCCCGAGAUGAGUUCUCCCUGACUCCCUGAGAGUCCUGAAGGAACGUUGAAGACGACGACGUUGAUAGGCCGGGUGUGUAAGCGCAGCGAUGCGUUGAGCUAACCGGUACUAAUGAACCGUGAGGCUUAACCUUACAACGCCGAAGCUGUU
rnacentral:rRNA from 1 species